AUAACUUGGCAGAUUAUAUGCAAUUGAUUUAGGUUCAAUAGAAAACUAAGGUUAGUUA
rnacentral:tRNA from 1 species